AUUGAACGCUGGCGGCAUGCCUUACACAUGCAAGUCGAACGGCAGCACGGGUGCUUGCCCCUGGUGGCGAGUGGCGAACGGGUGAGUAAUACAUCGGAACAUGUCCUGUAGUGGGGGAUAGCCCGGCGAAAGCCGGAUUAAUACCGCAUACGAUCUACGGAUGAAAGCGGGGGACCUUCGGGCCUCGCGCUAUAGGGUUGGCCGAUAGCUGAUUAGCUAGUUGGUGGGGUAAAGGCCUACCAAGGCGACGAUCAGUAGCUGGUCUGAGAGGACGACCAGCAACACUGGGACUGAGACACGGCCCAGACUCCUACGGGAGGCAGCAGUGGGGAAUUUUGGACAAUGGGCGAAAGCCUGAUCCAGCAAUGCCGCGUGUGUGAAGAAGGCCUUCGGGUUGUAAAGCACUUUUGUCCGGAAAGAAAUCCUUGGCUCUAAUACAGUCGGGGGAUGACGGUACCGGAAGAAUAAGCACCGGCUAACUACGUG
rnacentral:rRNA from 1 species